UACGGGAGGCAGCAGUAAGGAAUAUUGGUCAAUGGGCGCAAGCCUGAACCAGCCAUGCCGCGUGCAGGAAGACGGCCCUCCGGGUUGUAAACUGCUUUUAUACCGGAAUAAACCUCCCUACGUGUAGGGAGCUGAAUGUACGGUAGGAAUAAGGAUCGGCUAACUCCGUGCCAGCAGCCGCGGUAAUACGGAGGAUCCGAGCGUUAUCCGGAUUUAUUGGGUUUAAAGGGUGCGUAGGCGGCCUGUUAAGUCAGGGGUGAAAGACGGUGGCUCAACCAUCGCAGUGCCCCUUGAUACUGACGGGCUUGAAUUAACUAGAGGCAGGCGGAAUGUGACAAGUAGCGGUGAAAUGCAUAGAUAUGUCACAGAACACCGAUUGCGAAGGCAGCUUGCUAUGGUUAUAUUGACGCUGAGGGCACGAAAGCGUGGGGAUCAAACAGGAUUAGAUACC
rnacentral:rRNA from 1 species